rnacentral:rRNA from 1 species
AAACGACUUUCGGCAACGGAUAUCUCGACUCUCGCAUCGAUGAAGAACGUAGCGAAAUGCGAUACUUGGUGUGAAUUGCAGAAUCCCGUGAACCAUCGAGUCUUUGAACGCAAGUUCCGCCCGAAGCCGUUAGGGCGAGGGCGAGUCUGCAUGGGCGCCACG